GACGAACGCUGGCGGCGUGCUUAACACAUGCAAGUCACGGGGGCCCGCAAGGGCAACCGGCGAACGGGUGCGUAACACGUGAACAACCUGCCCUCGUGUGGGGGAUAGCCGGGCUAACGCCCGGGUAAUACCGCAUACGUUCCCUUGGAGGAGUCUCUGGGGGAGGAAAGCUCCGGCGCACGGGGAGGGGUUCGCGGCCUAUCAGCUAGUUGGCGGGGUAAUGGCCCACCAAGGCGACGACGGGUAGCUGGUCUGAGAGGAUGGCCAGCCACAUUGGGACUGAGAGACGGCCCAGACUCCUACGGGAGGCAGCAGUGGGGAAUCUUGCGCAAUGGCCGAAAGCUGACGCAGCGACGCCGCGUGUGGGAGGACGCCUUUCGGGUGUAAACCACUGUUGCCCGGGACGAACAGCCUUUUCGAGGGUCUGACGGUACCGGGUGAGGAAGCACCGGCUAACUCCGUGCC
rnacentral:rRNA from 1 species